rnacentral:rRNA from 1 species
GACAGAGGCCUCGAGCGUUAGGCGGAAUCACUGGGCUUAAAGCGUGUGUAGGCGGAUCGUUAAGUGUCUCGGUGAAAUCCCCCGGCUCAACCGGGGAACUGCUGGGCAUACUGGCGAUCUUGGGCCAUUCAGGGGCGACUGGAACAAGCGGUGGAGCGGUGAAAUGCGUAGAUAUCGCUUGGAACGCCGAAGGUGAAAACAGGUCGCUGGGGAUGUGCCGACGCUGAGACACGAAAGCCAGGGGAGCAAACGAG